AACGAACGCUGGCGGCACGUUUUAAGCAUGCAAGUCGAACGGCAGUGGGGGGCAACUCCCAUGAGAGUGGCGAACGGGUGAGUAACACGUAGGUGAUCUGCCCUGGGGAUGGGGAUAGCCUGUGGAAACACAGGGUAAUACCGAAUAAGCUGACGGGAUUUUGAUUCUGUUAGUAAAGGUGCUAAGGCACCGUCCUGGGAGGAGCCUGCGGCUGAUUAGCUAGUUGGUGGGGUAAAGGCCUACCAAGGCGACGAUCAGUAGCCGGCCUGA
rnacentral:rRNA from 1 species